GGCCAGCAGCCGCGGUAUAGGAGGAUCCGAGCGUUUUCCGGAUUUAUUGGGUUUAAAGGGAGCGUAGGCGGACUAUUAAGUCAGCUGUGAAAGUUGCGGCUCAACCGUAAAAUUGCAGUUGAUACUGGUCGUCUUGAGUGCAGUAGAGGUAGGCGGAAUUCGUGGUGUAGCGGUGAAAUGCUUAGAUAUCACGAAGAACUCCGAUUGCGAAGGCAGCUUACUGGACUGUAACUGACGCUGAUGCUCGAAAGUGUGGGUAUCAAACAGGAUUAGAUACCCUGGUAGUCCACACAGUAAACGAUGAAUACUCGCUGUUUGCGAUAUACGGCAAGCGGCCAAGCGAAAGCAUUAAGUAUUCCACCUGGGGAGUACGCCGGCAACGGUGAAACUCAAAGGAAUUGACGGGGGCCCGCACAAGCGGAGGAGCAUGUGGUUUAAUUCGAUGAUACGCGAGGAACCUUACCCGGGCUUAAAUUGCAAAUGAAUAUAGUGGAAACAUUAUAGCCGCAAGGCAUUUGUGAAGGUGCUGCAUGGUUGUCGUCAGCUCGUGCCGUGAGGUGUCGGCUUAAGUGCCAUAACGAGCGCAACCCUUAUCUUUAGUUACUAACAGGUCAUGCUGAGGACUCUAGAGAGACUGCCGUCGUAAGAUGUGAGGAAGGUGGGGAUGACGUCAAAUCAGCACGGCCCUUACGUCCGGGGCUACACACGUGUUACAAUGGGGGGUACAGAAGGCAGCUACACAGCGAUGUGAUGCUAAUCCCAAAAGCCUCUCUCAGUUCGGAUUGGAGUCUGCAACCCGACUCCAUGAAGCUGGAUUCGCUAGUAAUCGCGCAUCAGCCACGGCGCGGUGAAUACGUUCCCGGGCCUUGUACACACCGCCCGUCAAGCCAUGAAAGCCGGGGGUACCUGAAGUCCGUAACCGUAAGGAGCGGCCUAGGGUAAAACUGGUAAUUGGGGCUAAGUCGUAACAAGGUAACC
rnacentral:rRNA from 1 species